GUGAUUUUUAGCAGUUGAGUUGUGUGUUACUGCAACACAGUUUAAUUUUUUCAAAACAAUGCAUUACUUUGUGGGUGUUGAUGUUGGCACUGGAAGUGUCCGAGCUGCUCUAGUUGAUUCGCUGGGUAAAAUUUUAGAGACUGUUGUAGAACCGACAGUGAAAUAUAAUCCUCAAGCAUCGUGUUAUCAACAAUCAUCUGAUAAUGUAUGGGCUUCAAUUUGUCAUGUGGUUGAGAAAGUUGUGGCUGGUGUUCCAAAAAGUUCGAUAAAAGGAAUUGGAACUCUUUCUUGGCUCCUAAAAAUUUAAUUAUUCAAUCAAACCCAAAUCCAGUUACCCAAUUAACAUCAACAUCAAGAGUUAUAUAUCAACAACUACCAUCUGCGCACUACAUUUCAUCGAAUCAAUCAGUAUCAAAUUUGUCUGUAUCAACUUCAUUAAUGAAUUCAUCACCUGCUUUAUCAACAACAUCAAUAAUGACAAAUGAAACAAGAGCUCUACCAAAAGUGUUGCUUGUGUCGAACAAUGUAUCAAGAAUAUAAACUGCACCAUCUACUUCUUCAUCAAGCACACCAUCAUCAAUACUGUCAAGGACACUAAAUGUAUCUCCAUUAAUCUCCUCGAUGAAUAAAUCAAAUUUGAUUCAAGUUUCAUCGUACAAUCAAAUAAAUGAAGCUGAUGAAAGAAACCAAUUCAUUGUCAGAGCUUCUGAUAUAAUUCAAAUGAAUGGAGAAAAAAACAUAAUGGGUGUCCCGUAUUGCAAUAUUAAGGGCAAAGCUCGCUUGUGCCACCUUGUCAGAAGAAAGACGUGCGCAGCUGUAGCUUUAGGUGUUCCAGGUGUUGUAGAAAGCAUGAAAGUUUCAACACAAUCUAAUUCUGAAAGAUCGGCAAGGUAUGCUUUUGAAUAA